rnacentral:rRNA from 1 species
GACGAACGCUGGCGGCGUGCUUAACACAUGCCAGUCGAACGGUAAGGCCCUGCUUUUGUGGGGUGCUCGAGUGGCGAACGGGUGAGUAACACGUGAGUAACCUGCCCUUGACUUUGGGAUAACUUCAGGAAACUGGGGCUAAUACCGGAUAGGAGCUCCUGCUGCAUGGUGGGGGUUGGAAAGUUUCGGCGGUUGGGGAUGGACUCGCGGCUUAUCAGCUUGUUGGUGGGGUAGUGGCUUACCAAGGCUUUGACGGGUAGCCGGCCUGAGAGGGUGACCGGCCACAUUGGGACUGAGAUACGGCCCAGACUCCUACGGGAGGCAGCAGUGGGGAAUAUUGCACAAUGGGCGGAAGCCUGAUGCAGCAACGCCGCGUGCGGGAUGACGGCCUUCGGGUUGUAAACCGCUUUCGCCUGUGACGAAGCGUGAGUGACGGUAAUGGGUAAAGAAGCACCGGCUAACUACGUG